rnacentral:tmRNA from 2 species
GGGGAUGACUUGGAUUCGACAGGGAUGAGUUUGAAUGGAAUGGCAGUCGUAGGAGUACGUUAAACUCACAAACAAAUAUCUGGAAACAGAACAAAUUACGCUUUCGCUUAAUAGUCGACAUAGACUUGCGAAUGCCGGCUUACUUACGCUUAUAUAAGUGAGAUCUGGUAACAUAACCUUGUAAGAUAAGGGAUUAAGAUUGUCUCAUCUUAAUUCACGAAAAUAUUGAGGAUCGGUAAGUGAAAGACUGCUUGUGGAUCGUAGCUUACUUAAAUUUAUUCGACAAGAUAAACUGUAGAUGUUUCAUAUGGGACCAUCUUUGGACAGGGGUUCGAACCCCCUCAUCUCCACCA